rnacentral:rRNA from 1 species
GAGACCGGCGCACGGGUGCGUAACGNGUAUGCAAUCUACUUUGCAGAGGAUAGCCCAGAGAAAUUUGGAUUAAUACCUCAUAGUAUAGUACUUUGGCAUCAAGGAACUAUUAAAGUCACAACGGCAAAAGAUGAGCAUGCGUCCCAUUAGCUAGUUGGUAAGGUAACGGCUUACCAAGGCUACGAUGGGUAGGGGUCCUGAGAGGGAGAUCCCCCACACUGGUACUGAGACACGGACCAGACUCCUACGGGAGGCAGCAGUGAGGAAUAUUGGACAAUGGGCGCAAGCCUGAUCCAGCCAUGCCGCGUGCAGGAUGACGGUCCUAUGGAUUGUAAACUGCUUUUAUACAGGAAGAAACACUCCGACGUGUCGGAGCUUGACGGUACUGUAAGAAUAAGGAUCGGCUAACUCCGUG